UGGGAUGCCCUGAAAACGGCAUCCUCCAGGGUCUCUGGUAUGUAGGACACUCUCAUUUCAGCAUCCCAGGUGCCAGGGAUCAAUGGCGGCAUUACAGACAGACCUCCUUGUUACCACUGCUAGUAAAUGAGGAGGCAGCAGAUGAGAGCUCAGGGAUUCACAAGUAUCAGGUGGGCAUCGAUAAAGAGUACAGUGCAGUGUCUGAUAUUGGAACUCAGGAUGGGAGGGGGAGAAAGUGAGCUAUAUUCCCUGGGGGGCAUAGUUCAUAUUAGCCAAGCCCACCUGUUCAUGUAUCUGAGUUGAGUUUCCCGACCACAGCUUGACAUCAUUUACAAGGCUUGUUCUCAUGUUACAGUGAACAUAGGUACAAGCUACAAGCGUUUGUGUUAAAGUGUGUGCACUUGCUGAUUUCAACUAUUUUGCACACAGAUUCACAGGCUGUGUGCUUGCUGAAUGCUACAUGGGAAUAACUGUACACCUGUCAGGGACUGGCUGGGUGAGGAAGAGUGGUGGGCAACACCUGCCCUAGAGCCCCCAGAGAUGGCACAGAAGACAAGUUAGACCCUGGAUUGUGGUGGUGGGACACUGGAGAGCAGCCUAUGGAACGGACGAGCUGGGAGGUGCUAGAAGCAGGAGGUUUGAGCUAUCAAAGGAGGUCAGAAGAAGGAGGUCCUUCCAGGACAGAACUAGAGGGUGAGGGUCAUAGUGUGAGUGUAGACUCAGACAGAGAAGAGUCAGAGCUUGCCCUUGCUACACAGCAGCAGGACAGUCCCAGUCCUGCUGGCUCUCCACCCCUUCUGGCACCCCAAUCAAGGAGAAUCCUGUACGAUUGCUGAGCAAUGAGCCAGACAGGCCCAGAGGAGGAGCCCAGCCCCUCAACACAGCAUUCGUCUGCUUGGGAGGGAUCCAGAGAGAGAGGACAGAGGGGAAAAGGCAGGG